UACAACAAAUAGAUUUUAUACAUGACUUCCAAUGAAAUCUAUGAAACAAAAAAUUGUAUGUAAUGUAUGAAAAAAAAUUUAAUGUAUGUAUGUGAUGUAUCAUCUAUGUCAGCUAUUACAUGAAUCCUCAAUAGGCUUGACUGUGAGGCGCGUACUAUUACACCAUGCCUCUUGAGUCUUAGACUCAAAUUUGACAUUUCUCUUUUGAUUUAAGUAUUGUUGUUGUUGUAUACCACCAAGAAGAAAAAAGAAAUGAAAGGGAAUGUUGAAAAAAGAAAGAGUGGAAAAAGAAACGUCAAAAACGAGUCUCAGAAUUUUGGCCCACGACUCUCCGGUCGGAUAAUUUUUUGUUUUAUCUUCUUUCUCUUUUGCGCUCAUUAGUUUUGAAAAGAGGCGCGCCUCUUGAGGCUUCAUGUAAUAGCUGACUAUGAAAUAGAGCCCUGAAUCUAUUAAAUCGUUGAAAGAUCAACUAUAAGGGCCAGUUGUACAAAUUGAGGGUUAGCCCACGGAUCAUCUGAACUCGAGUUAACUCUUGAACCAGGUUCAACUUUGAUUGGGUUGUACAGUAGUGGAUCAAGCGAGAGUCAGCUGAACCGCAGUUCAGGUUUAUAUACAAGAAAAUUUUAGUAUAUUUAUACCUAAUGUCACUGUCAGUUGUCCUUAUUUUAUAAGGACAAAGUUCGUGAAAAUGUUUCGUCCAUCUCUCAAUUGUGAUUUGGAAUAAAAUACACAAAAAUAAAGCAUUAUUUUGUUGAAAAUAAUCUUUUGCCACUCCUAAUGGCGGCCGGACGUUCAUCAAGUGGACUAAUCAGGACGAGGAAGAUUCUUGGGUGGUUGUUGUUUUUGUUUUUUAUUAUGUUUUGUUUUAUUUUUUUUGGAGAAAAUUGUACACAGAGAAAAAAUAAGCAGGGAUGACUAUGCUUCUGGUAUAUUUAACUUUAUUUCUGGUAUAUUCAACUUUAUUCUGAUUAAAUAUACUAGAAGUAAAGUUAUCCCUGGCGUAAUGUUUUCUCCGUGUAUAAACAUUUAUAAAAAUUAAUAAAGUAUUAAAAAAUACAAAUAAAAGUGGUAAA